rnacentral:rRNA from 1 species
GUUGAGGAGGUCGGGCAAGAGUCGAACUGCGCUCAUGCACGAAAAGCUGGGGAUCGAGCGAGAUAUGAUACCCUGUAGUCCACACCGAAAAACGAUGACACUCGUUGCCGGGGGGCGACCUUCGGUGGCCAAGCGGAAACGAUAGAGUGAUCCACCUGGGGAGUCGAUCGCAAGGUUAAACUCAAAAGGAAAUGACGGGGGCCCGCACAAGCGGAGGAGCAUGUGGUUUAAUUGGAUGAUACGCGAGGAACCUUACCCGGGCUCGAACGUAAGACCAAGACACAGGAGAAUGUGUCGCCUUCGGGGGUUUUGCGAGGUGUGCAUGGUUGUCGUCAGCUCGUGCCGUGAGGUGUUAGGUUAAGUCCUGCAACGAGCGCAACCCUUACCUUCAGUUGCCAGCACGUAACGGUGGGGACUUUGGAGGAACUGCCUACGCAAGUAGAGAGGAAGGUGGGGAUGACGUCAAAUCAGCACGGCCAAUAUGUCCGGGGCUACACACGUGCUACAAUGGCGCACACAGAGGGCAGCGACCCCGCGAGGGGGAGCCAAUCCAUUAAAGUGCGUCUCAGUUCGGAUUGGGGUCUGGAACCCGACUCCGUGAAGUUGGAUUCGCUAGUAAUCGCGCAUCAGCCAGACGCGGUGAAUCCGUUCCCGGUCAAGG